rnacentral:lncRNA from 1 species
UACAUAACGUCUGAGAUCACCAGAUUUGGAGCUAUGAGAUGAGAGAUAACGUCUUCGGAGUGAACAAGGGUCCAGAAACCUCUUUCUGAUCAUUCCAAUGCACUGCCAAGAUUGACCGGCCGGGAAACCUUCCAUUCCCCGGAUGCCAAUGGGUCCUUCACAAAAGUUUGAGCUGGAUGAGUUGUAUUUCUCGUGGAUCUGGUUACAAGUCAAUUGGAGUAAUGAGUUGAAAAUUACAAGAAGCAGAAGACAAGCGCGUCGAUACAGGGUUUUAAGAGAUGUGAUUGGUGAUUAGUGUUUUGGCAGGCCUCGGUGUUGUGCCCUCGGCAUUGUUUUAUACUGAGGCAUAACUUCAAAGGCUUUUGGUCUAAGCCUCGAGCUGACUCCUCGGUCAUGCAACACCGAGGCAUCCUUGUUGAAGAAAAUAGUCUGAAAACGACUAAGUGUUGAGCUGAGUAUCCAUGCGGUUUGGUAUUGAAAUCUGUCGAAGUGUGAAACUGGACCUCGGCCUUAACCCCUCGACAUUGCACCUCGGACUCUUCCUACAUGACCCCCUCGACCAAAGCCCCUCGGUGUGCCCACACCCAGGUGAUCUCUUGCCAAAACAAAAUGCUCAAAACCUCGAGCAAACUCCACGGCUUGUAUACACCAAGGUGCAUGUUUUACGAAUGGAAGCAGCCAAACCUCGACCUAACUCCAUGGUGUGUCUACACUGAGGCCACCUUGUCUCCAGCCCAGAUCAAGAACUAGUUUCUCUAACGGUCACACGCGAAGAUGGAUCAAAGACUAGGGUUCAUGCAUGUUCUUGGUGAGUUCUUCAUUUCAACUCAAGUUCACAUGCACCCCUCAGCUUCAACACCUCGGCUUUGGACUCUCACACACUGAGGUGCUCACCCAACUGCCCAAGAAGACCGGUUCAGUACCCGGUUUGUUCCGGGCUGACCCAAGUCACUUAGUUUCACUAUAAAUAGUUUUAGGGACUAAAAACCCUACUUAUCAUUUAUCAUUUUUGAGAACUUGCCUCUUUUGUGUAAAACUUGCUGCUUUAUAAGAGAUAUCUCGUUUUGCA